ACCUGAGUGGCUCAGUCGGUUAAGCGUCUGACUUUGACUCAGGUCGUGAUCUCAUGGUUUAUGAGUUUGAGCCCCAUGUCAGGUC
rnacentral:tRNA from 1 species